CCUAAAUAUCUAACCUACCCUACCCCUAACCACCCCCAAACCUCCCAAAACCCCUUUCCCCUCACUAACUCACGCUAUAUCAGCCCACACCACACACACAACUCACAUAUUCACACACACAACACCUAAAACACACACUACACACACCAUUUUCCAUUUAAGCUUGGACGGAGCUUUUGACCUCCGAUUUGAGCACCGAGACGAGCGCCGAUCAUCUUUUCGAUCACGUAUCUAAGUAGGUCCUUUUGGGAAGUAACGACUUGAGGGAGAGAGUGACGUUACUCAUUGAUACAGAGACACAACGAGGUUGAGCUGAUGUGAUGAUGGUGCUGCAAUGAGCGGAGUCUCCAGGGUUGUUAAUAAAUAGUUAACCUGUCUAGAAUAUGUCUUCAUACAUAUGUCUAGCUACUUUCCGCUGCAAGAUGUUGUUGAUGUUAUAGUAUGUUAUGUCAUACUUUGAGUCUUAAGAGAAUGGUUGCAUAUGAUGUAUAACUUGAUUAAUGAUAUUAAUUAACUUUUAUGCAGUCUUUCAUAGACUGUUUUCAAUUGAGUAUUAAUGAAUAAAAAUGACGAGUUUUAUUAA